GACAGAGGAUGCAAGCGUUAUCCGGAAUGAUUGGGCGUAAAGCGCCUGUAGGUGGCUUUUUAAGUCUGCUGUCAAAUCCCAGGGCUUAACCCUGGACAGGCGGUGGAAACUACCAAGCUGGAGUACGGUAGGGGCAGAGGGAAUUUCCGGUGGAGCGGUGAAAUGCGCAGAUAUCAGGAGGAACACCGGUGGCGAAGGCGGUUCUCUGGGCAUGUCCUGACGCUGAGGAGCGAAAGUGUGGGGAGCGAACAGG
rnacentral:rRNA from 1 species